ACGUAGGGGGCAAGCGUUGUCCGGAAUUAUUGGGCGUAAAGCGCGUGCAGGCGGCGGUUUAAGUCGGAUGUUUAAGAUCGGGGCUCAACCCCGAUUCGCAUCCGAAACUGGGCCGCUUGAGUGUAGGAGAGGAAAGUGGAAUUCCACGUGUAGCGGUGAAAUGCGUAGAGAUGUGGAGGAACACCAGUGGCGAAGGCGACUUUCUGGCCUAUAACUGACGCUGAGGCGCGAAAGCGUGGGGAGCAAACAGGAUUAGAUACCCUGGUAGUCCACGCUGUAAACGAUGAGUGCUAGGUGUUCGGGGUUUCGAUACCCUGGGUGCCGAAGUUAACGCAUUAAGCACUCCGCCUGGGGAGUACGGUCGCAAGACUG
rnacentral:rRNA from 1 species